rnacentral:rRNA from 1 species
GACGAAGGAUGCAAGCGUUAUCCGGAUUCAUUGGGUUUAAAGGGAGCGUAGGCGGCUUGAUAAGUCAGUGGUGAAAUCUUCUCGCUUAACGAGAAAACUGCCAUUGAUACUGUCAAGCUUGAGUACAGUUGCCGUUGGCGGAAUAUGACAUGUAGUGGUGAAAUACAUAGAGAUGUCAUAGAACACCGAUUGCGAAGGCAGCUAACGAAACUGUAACUGACGCUGAGGCUCGAAAGUGCGGGGAUCAAACAGG